AGCAGCCGCGGUAAUUCCAGCUCCAAUAGCGUAUAUUAAAGUUGUUGCAGUUAAAAAGCUCGUAGUUGAAUUUCGGGAUCAAAGAAUCGGUCAUGCCUUGGUAUGUACUGGUUUUAUUGGUUCUCACCUUCUAAAGAACCAUGAUGUCAUUCAUUUGAUGUUAUGGGGAAUUAGGACUGUUACCUUGAAAAAAUUAGAGUGUUUAAAGCAAGCUUACGCUUGAAUACAUUAGCAUGGAAUAAUGAAAUAGGACAUCAGAUUCUAUUUUGUUGGUUUCUAGGAUCGAUGUAAUGAUUAAUAGGGAUAGUUGGGGGCAUUAGUAUUCAAUUGUCAGAGGUGAAAUUCUUGGAUUUAUUGAAGACUAACUACUGCGAAAGCAUUUGCCAAGGAUGUUUUCAUUAAUCAAGAACGAGAGUUAGGGGAUCGAAGACGAUCAGAUACCGUCGUAGUCUUAACCAUAAACUAUGCCGACUAGGGAUCGGAUGAUGUUAAUUUUUUAAUGACUCAUUCGGCGCCUUAC
rnacentral:misc_RNA from 1 species